rnacentral:lncRNA from 1 species
GUUUGGUAAUCGGCAAAUGGUAACGGAAAUUCAAUGUCAAAAGAUAACGUUUCUCUCGAGAAGUAAUUCUCUAAAUACAACUUGUUAUGGAACUAACAAGCCAACAUUAUACGGAAAUAGUCUGGUUAUUUCUGGUUAUUUAAUCGCUUGGAAUUAGCGUGUGUCACUUGCCCAGGGUAAAGUCGUACUGAAGCCUUUUUGGCUUUUCUCUCCUCAGUAUUUAUACUUUGGUAAACCAUUUACCGAAAUGGUUUACCAUUUACCAUUUAGGUAAAAUACCUAAAAUACCAAAACCGGAAUUGGUAAUUACCAAAAUAAUGUUCGGAACGAUUGGUAAACGUUUAUGUACUUCAUUUGAUAUGAACAAUCGAGGGGAGUUCCGAAUAUAAAUUCAAAACAUGGACGUUAAGAAUAAUAAAAAGUUAACAAUGUUUACACAAAGUUGUACAAGAAAUAUAAAAUAAAAACAGUCAAUAAACGGUAAGGUUUUAACAACAUCAUCACACAAUUUUAGGGAAAACAAGUUCCAUUUCAAAGAACCCCCAUUUUGUUACAC